rnacentral:rRNA from 1 species
ACCUACCUUUUAGCGGGGAAUAGCCCAGGGAAACUUGGAUUAAUGCCCCAUAGUAUGGAGGUCUCACCUGAGACCAUCAUUAAACAUUUAUGGCUAUUAGAUGGGUAUGCGUCCUAUUAGUUAGUUGGUAAGGUAACGGCUUACCAAGGCAGCGAUAGGUAGGGGUCCUGAGAGGGAGAUCCCCCACACUGGUACUGAGACACGGACCAGACUCCUACGGGAGGCAGCAGUGAGGAAUAUUGGACAAUGGGCGAGAGCCUGAUCCAGCCAUGCCGCGUGCAGGAAGACUGCCCUAUGGGUUGUAAACUGCUUUUACAGAGGAAGAACCACCCCCACGUGUGGGGGUUUGACGGUACUCUGCGAAUAAGGAUCGGCUAACUCCGUGCCAGCAGCCGCGGUAAUACGGAGGAUCCAAGCGUUAUCCGGAAUCAUUGGGUUUAAAGGGUCCGUAGGCGGGCAGUUAAGUCAGUGGUGAAAGUCUUCCGCUCAACGGGAGAACUGCCAUUGAUACUGAUUGUCUUGAGUUAUUAUGAAGUGGUUAGAAUGAGUAGUGUAGCGGUGAAAUGCAUAGAUAUUACUCAGAAUACCGAUUGCGAAGGCAGAUCACUAAUAAUAUACUGACGCUGAUGGACGAAAGCGUAGGUAGCGAACAGGAUUAGAUACCCUGGUAGUCUACGCCGUAAACGAUGGUUACUAGCUGUUCGGAUCGAUUGAGAUCUGAGUGGUUAAGCGAAAGUGAUAAGUAACCCACCUGGGGAGUACGUUCGCAAGAAUGAAACUCAAAGGAAUUGACGGGGGCCCGCACAAGCGGUGGAGCAUGUGGUUUAAUUCGAUGAUACGCGAGGAACCUUACCAGGGCUUAAAUGUAGUCUGACAGGGGUGGAAACACCCUUUUCUUCGGACAGAUUACAAGGUGCUGCAUGGUUGUCGUCAGCUCGUGCCGUGAGGUGUCAGGUUAAGUCCUAUAACGAGCGCAACCCCUGUGGUUAGUUGCCAGCGAGUAAUGUCGGGAACUCUAGCCAGACUGCCGGUGCAAACCGCGAGGAAGGUGGGGAUGACGUCAAAUCAUCACGGCCCUUACGUCCUGGGCCACACACGUGCUACAAUGGUAGGGACAGAGAGCAGCCACUUCGCGAGAAGGAGCGAAUCUACAAACCCUAUCACAGUUCGGAUCGCAGU